GACUCGAUCCAGGGCCCCCAGGAUCACGCCCCGGGCCUAAACCGCUGCACCACCGGAGCUGCCCAAGGUUAAAGUUGGUCACAAUAAAUUUGGGGAGACAAGCCUUGAGAAUCGAGAUCCAACAUGGAAAAUAAGAUGAAUUGACUUCCCAGGCUGCAUGAGUAUUCACAUUUCUCAUUUGCAAUGGGUUUGUUUCUUCUUAUGACCUCAAAAUGCAUUGAGGAACUUAGGGAAAACUAUAUGGCAUUCUUUAGGUUUUCCUUAUCAUCACUAAGUGAAAUAGCAUCAAAAUAUUUUUAGAAAAGUGGCAGCAUCUGGCAUACAGUAUCAAUAAUCUUAUCAUAGAUCCACUGAGGCUCCCACUUUACUGUCAAUUUCGUUCGCAUUCACAGUUUUAGCAUUACAGCUAACUAUUUUUUUAGUUGAUGAUCUGCAACCCUUUGCCUGAGCUAUAGGCAGGCACUUUGGUGGGGGGUUGGGGGGGGACGAGAAUCUUCAUAUCAUCAUUAACAAAUGCUUUACUAGUUUCUUUAUUUGGCCAUCAGGUGCUUCAGAAUAGGCCAGUUUGGGAGGAAUUUUCUUGGCAUAUUUUUAAUUUGUAUCUUGAUUUUUGGAGGUAAAUUUGUCAUUUUUAAUUGCUGCCGGAGGCAUUUUGUUGAAGGAUUCCUUUUUGGUUCCUUCAUCUUCGUCAUCUGCUUCAUCUUCUUUAUAAGUAUCAUUUCCUGAUAUUUCUGUAGCUUUAGAAGAAUUUGCAUCUAUUAUUUCUCAUCCUCUUCAUAAUUUCCUCAAUCCUAUUUUUUCUUUCCAGUCUUUCCAGCAGAUUCUCUCUCGAAGAUCUGAGCAGUGUAUCCCAUGACCACCUAAAUACCCCUUGCCCCUCACUGAUCCAUUUUCUCCACUUAUGUUCUGGGUGCAGCUCUUCUACAAUUCCUCUAGACUUCUCUUCCUGAGCUAAACCUUAGAAGAAGGAGAUUACUAGGACAGACUACACCCCCAUCACUCAGUUGGUCUCAGGGCUGCAACUGCUAUUCAUCCUCCUCCUCUAGUACCCAUUCCAAAUCCUACUGUUUUACCAGUAGUAGCUUACCUAGGUGUGACCCAAAUCCUUAUUCCUAAAGAGAAUGCGUGGUUAUUGGCAACUGUAUCCUUUUCAGGCAGGGAUUCCUGCACAUGUCCUCCCACAUCUCCAAUUACAUAUUAAGAGACUUCCAAGGGUUCCAAGGGAAUCACCUAGGAUCCACAUAUAUUUUUCCCCAUCCAUUAUAUGAAAGCAGCCCUUCCUCUUCCUGUUGAUCUAGGUCACUUGCCCCUACCAAGUUGGGGACUCCUCUUCUUGCCUGCUGGGGGCCAGACACAAAAAGUCCAAAGUGCGCAAACAGUAGCCAUAGUGUAUAGUUCAGUGGGACUCUAAUUGUGUUCCUUGACAAAAAUGCACUUCCUUUGGGGACCAGGAAUCCUAAACUUGCAAAGCCCAGAGUUGUGAGAACAGGAAGCACAAUGACUCGUUGAGAUAUUAAGUGGGGCCACUUCUGCUCCCCCCACUUUGUUCCUGGACCCACAUAUUCUUCCUGUUAGGGGCAAUGCCAAUCAGAUGUCUCCGAUUUAGUGGACAUACUGCAUCCUGAAGGAUGAUAUGCAAUCCUUACAGAAUAUUGCCUCUAAACUGACACUUCAGCUGUGCUUUCAGUAGGUUGUCUAGCGCUCUUAACAGGCUGGCUGCUUCUGGGUAGUGCAGUGGGUGAUAAAACCAGUAGAUGCAUUGGUCACAAGCUUUACACCCACAUCACCUUUACUGUGCAGUAGUUCCGCUGUUUGGAUGUACUGUUGAGUUAAAUCCCAUGCCAGCGGAUAGGGCCUUCUGUAAGCUCCUAGAUAGUAGUAUAGGCUGAGGCUCUGCAGGCAAAAUAGGCAAAUCCAUACCCAGAAUAGGUAUCUAUCCAUGUUAGGAUGAAGUAUUGGUCACUACAGAACGGAAGGGCCUCAGUGUUGUUGACUUGCCACCAAAUGGCUCGUUUAUCUCAAGUAAAAUGCCUUAUCAGGGACUCAGUGUUAGUCUCUGUUGCUAGCAAGUUAGACCUCCAGAGAUAGAAGCAAUUAGAUUGGUCUUGGAAGGGGAAUUCACGCUGUUGGGCUCAUGUGUAGCCUCUAUCUCUGCAAAUGUGGCCAUUCCAUUCAGGUGCGCAUUGUGCCAGUUUGGGGGAGGCCAUGACAAAGCUUGGCUAACAUCAACUGGAGAAUCUUUUUAUCUACUUGAUUGUUUCAUACCCUUUCCAAUGUUGGAAUAAACGUGAUACAAACAUCUUCACCUUUUGUGACCACUCUAUUAUGUCUGUCCACAUGCCUCUACUCCAGACUUCCAUGUCUCCAAUCUUCCAGGCUUUUCCUUUAAAACCCUGACCAGCUGGCCAGGCCAUGGCCACUGCCCAGUCAACUAUAUAAAUUCCCAUCAGGGGUACUUAUUCUUUCAUACAAGAAAGUCUUUCAUGACCAACUAUACUGCUUGAAGCUCUGCCCACUAGGAAGAUUUUCCCUCUCUAUUGUCUUUUAGGGACACCACUGAAUAUGGCUGUAAUGUGCUGCCAUCCACUUUAUAGUUUCCACCCAUACACCAAGCCAACCCAUUCAUAACCAAGCUUGAGCUUUUUUUCUCCUCCCUUACCUGGCCAGACAGCCAGAGGAAGGGGUGCUAGUGGGUCAUAUGGGGGUGGGGCUACUAGCUUAUGCGGUUAACUCAUGCCUUGGGAUUUUAUUUUGAAUGCAUCAUUUCCAUAUUACGAUGAACUGCUGCUAGGCCCAUCAACUUUAUGACUAGGAAAGUCUCACAGAAUUCAGCUCAUGAUGGCAGUUCUAGACACAUAGUAACUUGGUGCCUCAUGGUCAAGCUUUCUGCCUCUAAUGGGGCCCAGGACUAUGCCAGCGGCUGUUCCUUGAAAGGAGUAAAAUCUUCUGCUACAGAUGGCCUGACCUUGCUCCAAAAUCCCAGAAGACUAUAUUGUGAUCUCCUAUUGGGACUUGCUUUAAAUUCCACACUGCCUGCUGCAGAGCCCAUUGCUGUUUCCGACUACUUAGAACUGGCAACCUUUCAUAUACCCCAGGAUAUGAGCCAGAAUGGUAUUCCUAGGUGUGAAAUUUGUGCUUUUGGAAUCCAAAGAGGCCCACCAGACAUUGUGCUUCAUUAGUAGGAAAUGCAAGAUACAGAAGUUUGUCUUUUACUCUGGAGGGGAUGUCUUCACAUGUCACUGACUAUUGGGCCUCAAAAUUUUACUGAAUCUUCUUAGAGUUUAUCUCUCACCCUCUGGAUACAUGUAUCUUACCAAGGCCUCUAGCAUGCACGUCAUGUCUUACUCAUUCUACCCAUCAGUAUAUUAUUGGUAUAAUAUUUCAGUGUAAUGUUCUACGGAAUGUCCAGACAGUCCAGAUCUCUUCAGACUGUAUUAUAAUAGAGGGCAGACGAAUUAACAUAGUCCUUGGACAAAAGUGGAAAUAAAUAUGACCUCUUCUACAUGAA